UCACCGAAAAGGUAAAGCCCGGGUAACCGGGUGGCACAAAGCUACCUAUCCAGCUGGCUGGAAAGAGGGGCUGUCGAA
rnacentral:ncRNA from 1 species